UUGGUCUCCUUAAUAUUUUCAGUCCAGAUUUGAUGUAUCAAAUGUCAAUAAAAAUGUCCAUUGACAGUAAGUUGAUAAGCUUGAAUGUUUAUUUACGAGAUCAUUUCAUUGUUUUAAAUAUUAUUCUCUUUUAAUAUUAAAAAAAAUAUUCUUAAACUUUUGUGUUAGUAUAUUUGUGUAUCCAUAAAAAUAGCUAUUAAGGCGACCAGGGAAAAAAUCAUAAUUUUGGUCAAAAAUAGCUAUAUACUAAGCAUUUUUUAUUUGUUUUACUUUAUUUAAAGCUUAUUGUAUAUUAUCCCGAAGUUUCAUUCCAUAAAAAACAGAAAUGAGGAAAUUCGAUAUUUCGUGUACCAUCAGCAUCCAAAUUUUCAAGUAUACAGAAAUUUAACUUUCCGGAAUAUAACGGAAAUUUUCGGGUAUCUCCGUGGUACCAUCUCCGUGCAAUUAUGCAGUAUGGCGUUCAUCUCUUACAGAAAGAGAAUGGUAACUUGGUAAGUGUUUAAAAUACAUAUUCAACGUUUUUUCGUUUAUUUUUAUGACUUUUGUACAGUUGUAUAAAUCGUCCACCCUUUGGAUGAAAAGCAAAUGAUUUAUCCGGAUUUUGUUCAUCCGAAACUAAAUCACUAGUAUCAACAUCCGGUGUAAUUUUUGCUUGUAUUUUGGAGAAACUCGAUUGAUUUCUAGCAAACUUGGUUUACCACUACUGUACAUCGUCGCUUAUUAUUAUUUGUGUCAUGGAAAGCUGGAACUUUUCAGUACACAACAUGCAAACUGAGAAUGAACUGUGUGUGCCGGCUUUGUGAACAAAAACGCAAGGCGGCUAUGAUACACUGUGUUGUGUGUGGAUAAGAAAUGCAGAGUGGUACCACCAAUUACCUAAGCCACCAUUCCCCUAACAGACAAAAGGCUCAUGGGGACAGUUCCUGCAGUUUACAGCAAAUUGUAGCCCUACAAACUUCAG